CUAGUUUGAAAACAAAAAUAUGAGUGUUAUGAAACUAAAAUAAAUAACAUCACCAUUCUAACAUAAGCUGGUUUUUUAAAGUAUUGAUGUAUUAAUUCUAAUGUUCAUACGACCAGCCCAAAUUUUCAGCGGCCCACUGACAUUUUCUUGGUAGUUUGUAGUCAGCCCUAUCUGACUCCUUGUCACAAUACCGCCGUCACAUAUUGAACGCGUUCAUUGGUUUCUUGAAAACAUUAUCGAGUCUACAUUAAAAUCUUGAAUAAAUAAUUUCGGCAAAAUUUCGCUCAAUGUUUUAGACAAUAUUAGUAAUAUACUUAUGUACUACACCGACUAGCAUGCAUAUUUUUUCUAAUUCUACGUAAAUCUAAAGCACUGGUUUCAAU